rnacentral:rRNA from 1 species
CUCCAAUAGCGUAUAUUAAAGUUGUUGCAGUUAAAAAGCUCGUAGUUGAAUUUCGGGAUCAAUACGUCGGUCGUGCUUCGGUACGUACUGGCGUCAUUGAUUUCUCCCUUCUGACGAACCAUGAUGUCAUUAACUUGGUGUCAUGGGAAAUCAGGACUGUUACUUUGAAAAAAUUAGAGUGUUUAAAGCAGGCUCACGCUUGAAUACAUUAGCAUGGAAUAAUGAAAUAGGACGUUCGAUCCUAUUUUGUUGGUUUUUAGGAUCAACGUAAUGAUUAAUAGGGAUAGUUGGGGGCAUUAGUAUUCAAUUGUCAGAGGUGAAAUUCUUGGAUUUAUUGAAGACUAACUACUGCGAAAGCAUUUGCCAAGGAUGUUUUCAUUAAUCAAGAACGAAAGUUAGGGGAUCGAAGACGAUCAGAUACCGUCGUAGUCUUAACCAUAAACUAUGCCGACUAGGGAUCGGAUGAUGUUAAUUUUUUAAUGACUCAUUCGG